rnacentral:rRNA from 1 species
GGAUCCAGACUUUGAUUAUNGCUCAGGACGAACGCUGGCGGCGCGCCUAACACAUGCAAGUCGAGCGGGAAGCUUUUUAAGGAUUCUUCGGAUGAAUUAAAAAGUGGAGAGCGGCGGACGGGUGAGUAACGCGUGAGGAACCUGCCCUAUACAGGGGGAUAGCCAUUGGAAACGAUGAUUAAUACCCCAUAUGACCACAGUAUCGCAUGAUACAGCGGUGAAAACUCCGGUGGUAUAGGAUGGUCUCGCGUCUGAUUAGCUAGUUGGUGGGGUAACGGCCUACCAAGGCGACGAUCAGUAGCCGGCCUGAGAGGGUGACCGGCCACACUGGAACCGAGACACGGUCCAGACUCCUACGGGAGGCAGCAGUGGGGAAUAUUGCACAAUGGGCGAAAGCCUGAUGCAGCGACGCCGCGUGAACGAUGAAGGCUUUCGAGUCGUAAAGUUCUGUUCUUGGGGAAGAUAACGACGGUACCCAAGGAGAAAGCACCGGCUAAAUACGUGCCAGCAGCCGCGG